GGGAAAUCCCCAGAUUGGAACCGAAGUUCCCAUACGGGGACGGUCAAAGGUCAGAGAGUGCACUCCGGGAGACUCACCGUACGUGCUGACGGUGUCUGAAGCCAAAGGGAAGGACGGGAGAGGAAGAGUCCCCAGACGAAGGGACAUGAAGAUGGAGAUCCCUGAUUCUGCCUCCCUCCCUGCAGUUUCUUGCCCGGUUCUGCUCUAAGACGUGUGGGGAUUUUGCAUUUUGGCUCAUCCCUAGUUCCUCUCCUCCACUCUGGCCUAUGGGAUGAGAGGUCACUAUAGAUAAGAAUGGC